GACCAAGGGCGAAGACGUGUCGAAGUGAAAGCCCCAGGGAUUAUUGAAUGUAAAUCUGUGCACGAACCCAUGCAAACAGGCUUAAAAGCAGUGGAUAGCCUGGUUCCUAUAGGCCGUGGUCAACGAGAACUUAUAAUCGGGGACAGACAAACUGGAAAAACUGCAAUAGCUAUCGAUACUAUAUUAAACCAAAAGCAAAUGAACUCAAGAGAUUCUUCCCUGUUUCUACCCGGACGAUUCCAUCAAAUAAAUAAAAAUAAAAGUGAAGAGGAAAACGCAUAA
rnacentral:rRNA from 1 species